GGACGCAGUGGGGCUUUGGCUCUAUUGUGGAAAUCUAGGGAUUCGAUUUCCUUACUGAGUUACUCCUAGAGUCAUAUCGAUGUAGCAGUUGUGUUGGAGGGCCUUGGGAGAUGGCAUUUAAUGGUUUUUUAUGGGUUGCCAGAAAGGUCUCAUAGAGAAUCUGGGAAACUUUUGCAAACCCUGGCCGUUUCCUCACAUUUACCAUGGAUUUGUAUUGGGGACUAUAAUGAUAUUUUGUCACCAUCAAAGAAGAAGGGUGGUACGACUCAUCUACCUUAGGUGUAUAGUGGUUUUCGUGAUUGUGUUGUUAAUUCGGGUCUUGUUAAUUUGCAAUUGGAUGGCUAUUGUUUUGCUUGGAAACAAGGCAAGGGAUCGGCUUACUGGAUUUGUGAACGAUUGUAUCGUGCUACGGCAAAUUCAGCUUGGCUCUCUUUGUUCCGUUGAGCAUCAUUGUGUUCAUUAGAGAUUUCUUACUCUGAUCAUCUUCCCUUGUUUCUCCGGCCUAUCCAUCCUACAAUGUUUUCUCAUCCUCAGAAGUUUCAUUUUGGAAAUUGCUGGUUACAGGAAUCAAGUUGCAAGCUAUUGUUUCGUCAAGUUGGUGUUCAUACUCUUAUAUGGGUAUCUUCGACCAAAUUAAACGUUGCGGGUAAGCCUUUUUCUUAUGGGGUACAGACCUGCAUUCUGAUUACAAGAACAGAUUGUCAUCAUGUAAAGCUUGAAUUAUUGCCCUUCGCUCCUCUAGAGAUCCAGAAGAUGUGCGUCUAUUUGUUGAGGAUAAUAUGGAAUAUCUUCAAAUUCUGUUCCAAAAAGAAGUGUACUGGAAGCAACGUUCCAAACAGUUUUAGCUUUGAUCAGGGAAUUCUAAUACAAGAUACUUCAUAGUAUGGCUAAUGCAAGACCAAAGAGGAAUUAAGUUAUAAAACUUUGGGAUAACAGUGGCAUUUGGCAUAACUGGCCGUAUGAUUUGGGGAGCCUUAUGCAAAUGCAUUUCACUAAUCUUUUUACUGCUCAGGCAGGUUCUAUGGUUGAAGUCCUAGAUUGUGUGGAUUCAGGAGUAACACAAGACUAGAAUGCUUCUUUGGUUUCUCCUUUUACUAAAGAGGAGGUUAAAGCAACAGUAUUUAGUAUGCAACCGAAUAAAUCCCCAGGCAUAGAUGGCAUUAAUCUGAGGUUUUAUUAGAAAUUUUGGUCCAUUGUUGGAAGGGAUGUAUCGCAAGCUUACUUGGGUAUUUUAUAGGGUUGUUACUUUCCAGAAGGAUUGGAUGAUACAUCCAUCGUCCUAAGUCCGAAAAAGAAGAAUCCUUAGACUACGGGUGAUCUCAGUCCCAUCUCAUUAUGUAAUAUUUUAUACAAAUUUAUUUCCAAGAUGGUAGCCAAUCGUUUGUAGGGCAUUCUUCCUAAAA
rnacentral:misc_RNA from 1 species